rnacentral:lncRNA from 1 species
UGGAGGUGUUAAGAAAGCCCUGGAUUCGGGCCAUAUUUGCAGGUCCAACUGACAGGACCAGCUGGUGCAUUGGGGUGGGCGUGAGGGAAAGAGAGGAUGGACAGCUGACCGCUCUGUGCUUUGCCAACUUUCCUGGCCUCCUCCGGAGACACCAGGCCCAGCCUCCAUCUCUGUUCCAGCACCUUCCUGGUUCCACUCCUCCCAGUCUGGACAUUGCAGAGCCCCCUCCCCCCUCACCUCCCCAACUUCUAUUCUGAUCAACUCCAAGAAGGAGAGGGAAGAAAAAAAACACGUUGGCCAGGUUCUCUGUUACCUGCAGCUGAAAGCACUCCUGCCUGAUGCCCGGCGGCUGCUCGGUCCCUGCGACUCCUCGAUUUCUGCAAAGCCAGGCCAGACACCAAAAGGCUCCACUCCAUCUCCAUGCCAGAGGUCAAUGCCUGAUGUGUCCCCGCAAAGUGAACGGGCAUGGAGUAUGAAACUGGGGGAUGCAGAAAGAGCAUCAAAGCAGGAGCCAGUGCUGCUCGAUGUUGCUGGCUGUGUGACCUUGGACAUGCCGUCCCCUCUCUGGGCUUCAGUUUUCUUCCCUGUGCAGGGGCUCCUUGCUAAGCCCCCUCCCCACUCUGCUCUUCUGAGUCUAGCGAGGGUCUUUCUUCUCAAGUUCGGCCUCCAUCUGCAGCUACAAACGUGUCGGGGGAGUGUGGCUGGGCUGGAGAUGUUUGGGGAAACAGGCAGACCUGAGUUUUGAUCCCAAGUCUAGUGCCUGAACGCGAAGUUGAUGUUGGACAAGUCCUUAACCAAGCUGAUCUUCAUUUCGUCAAUUAUGAAAGGGAAUAAUGAUACUACUAUAUUUUAAUAAUUAGAGAUCAUGCAUAUGAGAUAGAAGCACAUAGCAGAGGCUCCAUGGAUGGUAAAUUUGCUUCUAUGUUCCUCAUUUUACUCUUGCUGUCUUUCUUGUUGCAUGACUGUAAUGGAAGUCAGAUGGGCAGUUGCCCUCUGGAUGGGGGGAUGGAACCCACAAGCUCAGGAGAAUAAAGUAACUAGAAUGGAAACA